UUAGAUGCGAGGGCAAAAUAGCACUUUAUGGACUUCCACAGAGGACAUCAUGUUUAAUACGGUUCCGGAAAAAUCCAGUCAGAAGUUGUUCACGGAGUUUUCACAAUAACUGCUUCUCAUGAACCGAAGCUGGAUUUGCGCGACGUCUCCUCUUGAAAGUUGGAUUACUGUGCACUUCUGGAUCACAGACUGUAAGUAUUCAUGUUUAUUAUUUGCCUUUUACUGUACAUUACGUAACCGGUAACCGGAGAUUAACAUAAUGUGCGUGUAGAGCUAAGCUUGCAAGCUAAUUGUUUUGUGUUGUAAUACUGUAUUUCAUAAACAACGUACCAUAUUUACACACGUGUAUGUUGAAUUAUGCAGGCUUUCGUUUUUUUUAUCGAUGUUGGUUUAGACAUGUUUACAAACUUGCUAAGUUGCUAAGAUAAAUACAAAUACAAAUGCCAGCUAAACUGUUACCAGUAAAAUUUGUUCUCAUGAUCAAACUCAAGAAACUCUAAGUACAGAUGAUUUGUUUAAAGUUAUAUGUAUUUUACUGUUGUAUUUACUUGAAGCUUUCUUAGAUUUUGAAACGAAGUAAACACAUAAUGUGUGUUGCUAAUGUUGGGCCAUGUAAUAUGUAAUACAUUAACGUUUUAAUGAAUAGUCUAACGAUUUAUAGUCGUUGUACUCUAUUGUUAUAAUAUUUCUUUUUGACUGAAUACAUGUUUGUUUUAUUUGUCUAUAUCCUAGAUUCGCAGCUGGACACAUCCUUCUACACUGUAUGCAAACAUGCAACAUCAUUACUCACAGUACAAGGAGUCAGACUGGCAUAUGAGGAGCAAAGGUGUUUAACACAUUAUGUAUUUACCUAGUGAAACCACUACCAGUCUUAAAUGUAUAACUGAUGAUGACAAAGUUUUUUUUCUCUGCAUAAUCAUAGGAACCCAGGCAGUAGCAUCGUUUCACAAUGUUUCCAUCACCAUCAUCAGUGGAUGCCUUUGCCGUCCGUAGCCUGAGAUUUCAGAUUUGCAGCAAAAAAAAUUGAUUUUCUCAUUUAUUGGAAUGCUAUGCAGGUAUUUGUACCUUGCAGCCAUCCAUUACAAUGUCACCAAGCCGUAACAAAAGCAGGAGAGGGAAAGUACAAGGCUAUGUUCCCAAAACACAAAUGACAUACCUUAUGUGGAUGAUGUGAUCAGGCUUGUGUUUGAUGAGGUAUUUGAAGAUAAGCUGAAGGAAACCCCGAUUCCAAUGGACCUGGCAUCACAGUUUGAGAGACCUUCAAAGGAGGACGUGAUUGCAUGCCAUCUUCAGUGCAGGGGUCGUCGAAAGCCAAAAUUGUGACCGAUCUGAUCAGGAAGCUCCAAGCGUAUCUGGAGAACAACACACGACAGGAUGAUAACCUUAUAGUGUCGUCUUAGAUAGCACCAGCUGACAAAGCUUUGAUAUGCCAUUUAUCUGAAUAGAUAGCUGUAAGAAAUGAAUUGAACAAUUUUUGAAAGAAGAGCACAAUAUGGUUACUAAAGUAUGUUUAUUUGUAUAUUGUUUAACAUUUAAAUAUAUAUUUGUAAUAAAUAAAAAAAACUUUUGACUGACUAUUA